UACGGAGGAUGCAAGCGUUAUCCGGAUUCAUUGGGUUUAAAUGGUGCGUAGGCGGGCUAUUAAGUCAGUGGUGAAAUCCUGCAGCUUAACUGCAGAACUGCCGUUGAUACUGAUAGUCUUGAGUUUGGUUAAGGUAGGCGGAAUGAGUAAUGUAGCGGUGAAAUGCUUAGAUAUUACACAGAACACCAAUUGCGUAGGCAGCUUACUGAGCCGACACUGACGCUGAGGCACGAAAGCGUGGGGAGUCAAACA
rnacentral:rRNA from 1 species